rnacentral:rRNA from 1 species
UACGUAGGGUGCAAGCGUUGUCCGGAUUUAUUGGGCGUAAAGAGCUCGUAGGCGGUCUGUCGCGUCGGAUGUGAAAACCCAGGGCUCAACCCUGGGCCUGCAUUCGAUACGGGCAGACUAGAGUACGGCAGGGGAGACUGGAAUUCCUGGUGUAGCGGUGAAAUGCGCAGAUAUCAGGAGGAACACCGGUGGCGAAGGCGGGUCUCUGGGCCAUUACUGACGCUGAGGAGCGAAAGCGUGGGGAGCGAACAGG